GCUGUGUUAACAUCAAAAUUAAAGCGUGUGUUAGAAUGCUGAUGCAAGAGCUGGGAACUGGAAUAUGACC